GGAUAAGACAGUUGGCCUCUGUUCAAAACAUUUUUUUUUUACCACAAAGUAAGAAUAUUUAUGAACCUCAUAUUAAAUUCAUAAGAAUUUUUUUUUUGUCCAAUAAUUUUAUCCACAUAGUACCUAUACCUAUCGAAUAAAAAUUACGUACAAUAGUCGCAAAAUUAAAAUGUCUAUAAAUUGUUCAAAAUUUCGACCACAUCAAGAAAAAACAAAUAUAAGUUUUCUGUCCAAAUUUCAAGUCUACGAAUAAGUACAAAUAUUUUUAACUGAAUCACAAAAAAAACAAAAUUUGAAAUAAUAAAAGCAUUAUUUUCGUAAAUUUUUCCGUUUUUCUUACGUUUUAUCCUGGG